UACGUAGGGUCCAAGCGUUAUCCGGAAUCACUGGGCGUAAAGCGUGCGUAGGCGGCGUGUUAAGUGUGAUGUUAAAUCGUGUGGCUCAACCAUAUCGAUGUGUCGCAUACUGGCAUGCUAGAGGACAGCAUAGGCAAGUGGAAUUUGUAGUGUAGCAGUGAAAUGCGUAGAUAUUACAAGGAACACCAAUGGCGAAGGCAGCUUGCUGGGCUACUCCUGACACUGAGGUACGAAAGCGUGGGGAGCGAACAGG
rnacentral:rRNA from 1 species